AAUCUACAUAAUAAAGACUAACCAACACCAGACACACCUGUAGCAUCCUUGAUUUUACCUAGGGUCAACAUAACAACCAAUGGUUCCUGAAGCAGAAGGUUUUUGUCAAUAGCAUCAUGUAGCUGAAUAGCAUAGUCCUCCCAAACAGUUAUUAGAAUGUCGCAGUUACUAUGACCAAACAAUCACAAUCAGUAUGUUAGUUGUUGCUAACCCAUUCAUCAUAUCAUAUAUCAUCAUAUAAAAUAAU
rnacentral:lncRNA from 1 species